UUAUUAAUCCCGGACACCAUAAAAAAAUAAUAUUAUUAUUACAUUAUUAACCAAUUAUGAAUCCUUUGAAAAUUGGAACCCUAGUUUUUUAGUGAGUGAAACUUCAACUUCUCUCUAAAUUUUCUUUCUCCUUCGUUCAUCGAGGAGAGGUGGUUUUAGGUCAUUUUUUGACCUAGAAUCACCCCUCUACUUCUUUUUUCCCUUUUCUUUCACUCUAAAUAAGUGGUUUUCACAUAUAUCAAGUUUUCUCUUUUGUGUUUUUUUGUGAUUUCUUCGUCUAAGUGCGGCGUUGUGUUGUUCGUCGUCUUGUGUGGCGUUUGAUUUCGCGUCUUGUUGCGGUGUUCGUUUAGUUCCUAUUGAAAGAUCGGCAUCAGUCAAUUACAAAUUCGACCAAUAAUUUGGGCGUCAACGUUGCAGUUCUAGAAGCAUGUGAAUUUCGGUGAUUUAGGUUUUAUCAUAUUAUUUGUAGGCAUUUUGCCGUUUUAUGCUAUUAACUUGGAUGUUGUGAGUUUGUUUGCAGAUUCACCCUUUACGUUUUUAGCGAUGUUUGUAUCUGAUGUACUCUAUCAAUUUUUUUUUUUGCUAACCACUCUAUUGAUUUGAAUGAAUGAAUAUCGUUUUGUUUUUGUCAAAAAAUAAAUAAUAUAUUAUAUAUGUUCUUAACAAAAUCAUAUUUAUUUUUUGACAAAAACAAAACGAUAUUCAUUCGUUCAAAUAUUAAAUAUUUUUUCAUCGAUAAGGUAAUAUUUGAUAUAUGAAAUAAAAUUAAUAAGUUGUUAAAAAAUAGUUUCAUUUCAGAUUCACAUUAAAAAAUAUUUGUUGCCAAUAAAUAUUAAAAAAAACGAGACAAAUAUUACGAAUAUGCAGAAGACGGCCUUUAGGACACGUUAUGGACAUUACGAAUAUGCAGUGAUGGCUUUCGGUGUUACUAAUGCGCCGGGUGUGUUUAUGGAGUACAUGAAUCGUAUUUUUCAUGCGUAUUUAGAUCGCUUCAUGGUUGUGUUCAUUGAUGAUAUUUUGAUAUACUCUAAGUCUCAAGAAGAACAUGUUGAGCAUUUGAAGAUUGUUUUGCAAGUGCUGAAGGAGAAGAAGUUAAAUGCCAAGUUGUCAAAGUGUGAAUUCUGGUUGAAUGAGGUGAGUUUUCUUGGUCAUGUUAUUUCUGGUAGUGGUAUUGCGGUAGAUUCGUCUAAAGUUGAUGCAGUUAACAUGAUUUCGUGAAUUAAGGUUAGGGGUCAAGUUUUAGAUGGUUUUGAGUGCCUUAACAUGUUUAGAAAUGAUUAGGCAAGUUUUUGUAUUAAGUUUGGGCAUAGGGAAGUUAAAAAUGGGAUUUUUGAGUGAAAAAUGUCAAAACUCCCAAGAACCAUCAAUUUUAGCUCGCCACGACGAGUACCUUGUUCGCCAUAGCGAGUAGCCUUUUUGUUGAACUCGCCAUAACGAGUAGAGUGGCUCGCCUCGCGAGUUACUCAGUGGCAGUCAGCCUUACUUAGAGUUCUUGCGAUCUUUGUCGCAUGUGAUGUUACGAGUUGGUCUGUAGGGUAUGAAUGGAAGUUGUUUAUAAAGGUAUAGCCUUUCAGAGAGUCUGAAUUAAAAUCAUUAAUGAUGUUGGUUAAUUUUGAGAUACAUAUAUUAUGUGGAAAUUGUAUGAUAUAGAAAAUAUUGUUGUUCAUAUCAUUCAAAUCGUUAUUAUCAGUUGUUGCUAUGUUGCAAGUUGUUUAUGUUGAUGUCCUUGCUGUUGUUGAUUAUUAAAUUCAUUAAGUUGCAAGUUUUGGUCAAAGUUGCAAAGUUGUAAGUUGUCGUUCCAAGAUAUUGGAGUCGUAUAAGUUGUUGGAGUUGUCUAAGUCGUUGGUUGUUGAGUCCAUGUAUACUCAUUAAAGUUGAGGGCUUGAUGCCAUGUGAGCCUAUUUGCUCUUUAAGUUGAGGGCUUGAUGCCAUGUGAGCCUAUUUGCUCUUUAAGUUGAGGGCUUGAUGCCCUGUGAGUAUAUUUAUGCUCUAUACGUUGGGGGCUUGAUGCACUGGUUGGUACCACAUGCAUGAUUAAGCUGUUGCAGUUGCAUUGUCGAGAUGAUUAAGAUGUUGUAGUUGCAUUGUCGAGUUGAAGUCGUUGUUGUCGCAUUGUUGUUGUUGUUAAGUUGUCAAUUAUCAAUGAGUUGUUAAUGAAGAACUAUAUGAAGAAUUAAUAUUAUUAAUUGAUUAUGUCUAUGUUGUUAAAUUCAUUUGAUGAAUUAUAUGCUUAUUAUUAUUGAAUGUGAAUCUCACCCCUUCUCUUUGAAUGUUGCCUCUACAUGGGUAAUGUGCAGAUAACCAAGGAUAGCUGUUGAAGUGAGUUGACUCUCUCAUGCGUCGUCUUAAGGUCGCUCUGAUACGUAACGGGAUGGGGAUCUUACUUUUUUCCAUGUGUUACGUAACUGAUAUGAUUUUAUGUUGAUGAACCAUCUAGAUUGGAUUUUAAUAAGUUGUCUAUGUUGAGGCCGUUGUGCGAUUACGAUGUUAAAUUAAUGUUUUCCGCUGCAUUGAGAUUUGAAUUGAUAACAUGAGAUGUUUGAAAUAAAUAGUAAUUCAACUAUAUUUAUAUUUUAAAGAUGUGUAGCAUUCUGUUUAGUUAUUUACUCUGAUUUUAUGCAAAAAAAUUUAAGUUGAAAAAACGAGAUGUUACAGUGACAAGGUAGAGCAGGUUGGCCCGUUGGGUUAAUAUGUCAAAAAGAAACUAUCUUUUUUACUUCUUUUUAUUUACAAGUCACAAUCAAUUUUCAAAUUUUCACCUCCAUAUAUAGUGGGAGAAAAAAUUCAAUUAAUUUUAUAUCUUUUGUUUUAUGAUUAUAGCCUUUGUAUUAGAUAAUUGAUAACUCAUGGAGUUUUUAUUUUCAAUGUCUUAUUGAUUUAUUUAUUUUUUUUAGGAAAAUGUCUUAUUGAUUUUUUUUUGGUCAAGUAGCCUAGUGGCUAGAGCUCACACAAUUAAAUUGUGGAGAAGUGGAGUGUCUGGGGUUCGAACCCCGACUCCUGCAUAUAAUAUGCAAUAUCCCUACCAACUGAGCUAAGCUCACGGGGAUGUCUUAUUGAUUUAUUAUAGAACUUUAGAAGAUGUAAUUUCUAUGUUUGAAUAAUUAUUUUCAUAUUUUUAGUGGAGCCAUUAUAUUAGAUAUAUAUUUAGAUUUUUUUUAAAUUGGUUUUAAAUUUAUAUAUUUUUACAUUGUUUAUGUGAAGAUUUUAAUUAAUAUUUUUUUUUCAAACAUUGACGGGUCAACCCGCCAAUCCGUAGGUCCGCCACAAAACGGGACGGGGUGAGAUUUCCAACCCUAUUUCUCUAGUUGGCCCGCCCCGCUCUGCCCCUUUUUAGACUGGUUAUUGACGGGGCGGGGUGGGACUAGACGGGUUGGCCCUUUUUGCUAUCCCUACAUUUAUCACUGAUAGAUAAAAAAACACGACAUCCACGUGAGCUUAACUAAGUUGAUAGGAAUAAUGCAUAAUAUAUGUAAGGUCUAGAGUUCGAAUCCCGGACACCACAAAAAAAAUAUAAUAAAAACACGAGACAUAUACCGAUAGCUGAUAAAUAUAUACUAUAUAUAAAGAAAACUACCCCUUUUCAGCUCUUUUGAGUUAGAUUUUUCUUUUCAAAAAUGCCCUCAAUUUUGAAUACAAAUAAUACAUGUUACAACUAGAUAAAAAUAAAUUUAAAUAUUAAAAAAAAAUGUAACAAACACAUAAAUAUAUAUGUCUGUUUUUUCCUUUAUCAUUUAAAAGGUGUAACAAAUUAGAUGAGUAUAUUUAUACUUACUUUUUCAUUAUCCCAAUUAUACAUUUAAACAAUUUUUUCUAUAAUAAAGAUUGUUGUUGGUGUCAAUAAAAACAAAUUAGAUUAUUAUUUUUUUUGUUAUAUUGUUGGUGUCAUUGAAAUAAAUAAUCAUGAUUAGUUUGGUUUGUUAUAACUUGAAAGCAACAAACAUUUAUAUUUUUAGUUUUAAUCCAAAUCAAAAUUUCAUAAAAAUAACACCGUUAAUAAUUUUCAAAUUUUAGUGAAAUAAAAAGAGCAGACAUGCACGUGAGUGCCUGUUUUUUCGCUAAUACAUGUUAUAAAGGACAAAGCACGGGACAUAUGCUUAUAGAUGAUAAAUACAUAUAAUCAUCUUUAAAAAGAAAUGAUCAAUGAAUCAUGAAAAAAGCACGGGGAAACUGUUAAUCAUUGAUAAAUAUUACUUUUUUCAAAACUAAAGUAAUGCAAGAUUCAUUAUCCAAAUUCAUUAAAAAAAAUGAGAAAUACAAAGAAAGAAAAGGGAAAAUAGUUCAACACCUUUUCAAAAUGAAUUAAAUUUAUAGUCAGGCAUCUCUAACUUAUUUCUUAUGUAUUUUAGGUUAAUAUUAUUAGGAAGAAAUGGAAACCGAAUAAUAGAAAAAAUGCUUUUCUAAAAAAAAAAAUGCUAAGACAAUGUUAGAUAACCUAUCGUUAAAAUUUUAUUGAUAAAUAUUAAGAAAAUACUCGACAAAUAUUAAAAAACACAAGAAAAAUAGUUGUAACUGAUACUUAAAAAAAUACGGGACACAAAUCUUUAUCACUGUUUUUUAUGAGGUUUUAUCAGUGAGAAUCAUAUGAAAAAAUAGGAAAAAUAUCUGUCAAUAAUAAAUAAACACAUAACAUAUAUUUGUCAUUAUAAAUAUAAAAAAAAUAGGAAACAUAUUUUUUUACAAGAAGAUAGGAAAAAUAUUUAUUAUUGAUGCAUAAUAAAUUUGGGUCAAAUAUUUGUGACUGAUACAAAAAAGGGUUAAAUAUGUUUUUGGUCCCUAUAAAAUAGGGACCUUUCAAGUUUAAUCCUUACUUAAUUUUAAUAGAUUUUUUAGUCCCUACAAAAAAGAAUUACUUCUAAUUUUAGUCCCUAUUACAACAAAGUUUGUUUAAUUAUCCUUAAACUCUUGAUUUUUUGAACGAUUUUUUUGAGACAAGUUUGGAACACUAUGAAAGGUUCAUUUACUAAAAUUUAGAAUUUUUUAACAUCAAACGAAUUAAAUAUGAAUUUUUUAAAACGGAAAAAGUUAAAGAUAAAAUUAACAAAAUCUGAACGUAGAAAUCAAAUUUUGCGACAAUUUUUUGCAUAGUAACUUUUAGUAAUGUUCUUAACACGUUUGUAAAAAAUUGUUCAAAAACUCAAGAGUUUAAACAUAAAUUAAACAAAUUUGAAUCGAGGAGGGACUAAUACUGAGUGCAGAUUUUUUUUUUUUAGGGACUAAAAGAACCAUUAAAAUUAAGUAAGGACUAAACUUAAAAGGCCCCUAUUUUGUAGGGCCAAAAACAUAUUUAACCCUAAAAAAAACACUAUUGAAAUACUAUUCAUUGAUACAUAAAAAAAUAUGAGAGUAAUAUUCGCCAUUGGUAAAUCUAUAGGGAAAAAAACAAACAAGGAACACAUAUUUGCAAGGUAAUCAAAACCGGACCGGACAUUAAACCCGUGUAGGCAUGGGUUUAAGGUUUUGAGGUUCAACCGGGAUUGGAACAAAAUGAGAUUAAAAACCUCUAUUAUUAAUUGUACAAAUCUUUAAAAAUAAUUGUGUGAAAAGGGAACAGAUUGAUAAGAAAUGGAAAUUAAUCAAUAACGAAACGCGUUUCAAUUUUUUUCUGGAAAAAAAUAAAACCCUAACCGACUAGACCUGUAAAACCGUCUGAACCGACGGUUUCCCAGUUUUUUCGGCUUUUGACCGGUUUUCCGGCUGUUGACCCGGUUCUUUGAACCAUCGGUUUUGGGAGUCAGUCAGACCGGACAUGGAUCCGGUUCCCGGUUCAAUCAGUUGAACCGGACGGUCCGAUUCGGUUUAACUACCAUGCAUAUUUGUAUUUUUUUUUAUUACGCACAUACUUGUGAUUGAUACAUGAAAAAAAAGCAAAUAUUUUUUGUAGACAAAUAUAAGAAAUAAUGAAAAUAUAUUUAUCACUAAUAAACAUAAAAAAUAUAGGACAAAAAUUUGUCAUUGUGACAUAAGAGAACACAAACAAAUUUAGAAAAACAUGGGAUAAAUGAUUUUCUUCGAUAAAUAAAAAUUAAUUUUAGAGAUUGAAAAACAGUAGCAUAUCACCCUUACCUCAAAAAAAAAAAAAUAGUCUAUCACCCGUGCAUUGCACGAGUUAACACACUAGUUGUAUAUAAUAAACACAUUGUCCAAUCAUGUGAUUGGACUAAAAUAGUUAACGAGCUUCAAUUAAAGAAGAAUUGUUCUUGAGUAUACUCCUCUUUUUAGUAUAUUAAAAAAAUUAUGUAGACGAAACAAAAGAAAACUUAAAUAAUUGAUUAAUAAUAAGAAUUAUCUCAUGUAUUCCAUCUUUCAACGACGCUCUUUAGAGAUGCAUUUGCAGAAAAUAAUGUGAAAAUAAAGAAAUUACAUACCAAGAAAAUAUUAAGUUUCCUAAUGACAAUUUUCCACCUCCUUUUAAAAAAUAUAUGCAAUUUGUCACCUUUUAGAAUGAAUGAAAAUAUAUGAGUUAAUUUUUUUAACAAAAAAAAUAAUCUUUUUUCACACAAAAAUUGUUUUCUAAAAAAGAACAUGUAUAAAUAGUUUCAAGUAGAAGGUGUGUAUUGUAAUUUUGUUGGUAAUUUGUUUUCUAAAGUUUAAUAAUAGUUUAUUUGGCAACGGUUUUACUAAUACUUGUUAUUUAAUUCUAUAAGUUAAAAAUUUGCUAACGCUUCCCCUAAUAAAAAAAAAAUUACUAACACAUUUUUUGUUAUUUAUAAAUGGAAUAAAGAAAAUAAUAGUUUGACCUACAAUUAACUUUAUCUAAUUAUUAAGAUCUGCCAAGUAAAGAGAGUAUAAAAAAAAAUAGACAAAGAUUUAGAGGAAAUAUAAAAUAUACUAAUUAGUGUAAAAAAAUAAUAUAAUUAGUCUAUUAUAUUUGUUCUCUUUUAUAUGCAUAAGAUACUAAAAAAACAUUAAUUAUUAGCCAUUUUUAGUUGGGAAAACAAUAAAUGAGUAUAGGAUGGGUUUUGCUCCCCUUUUUCUCCACUCCCCAUCAAAAAACCAUUUUUAGUUAUCUGUUUCUAACUCAUUUAUGAUUUUUAUAAUAAAUUAUAAAUUUAUAAUUAGUAAAAUAAAAUAUUCUCAUUUUUAUUUAAAAGAAAAAAAUUAAUUAAUUAUUUAAUAAUAAAUAAUUGUCUCCCGUAUCAAUUGCAUCUUUCAAAGACAUUAUUUAGUGUCUCGUUCGUAAAAAAUAAAAUAAAAUUAAUAAAGCUACUUACAAAAAAGAAUAUUAAUAAGUAGACUAAUGACAAUUUAUCGCCUUUUUCAAUGAUUGAGAAUAUGUAAGAGUUGAUUUUUUUUUUUUAACAAACAAAAUUGUUUUUUUACAUACAAAAAAAAAUUAGAAAAGGACAUGCAUCACAUGUUAAAGUAGAAGGUUAGUAUUGUAAUUAUGUAUUUCAAUUAUUUCAUAAUAUCCCUUAUAAAAACUCAUUAUCAUAAGUAACCCUUGAAAAAGAAUCAGUAUCAUAUAUAAUUAACUUAAAUAAAAAUAAUCUUUGUGAACUUAUCUCAAUUAAUAGGGAUAUUGCAUAUUAUAACAUCAAAUAUCUUAGUUUUUUAUAUUUAAAAUGUGUAAGCUUUAAUCUUUAAAAAAAAAUAAAACUAUAACUAUAACUUGGACGGAUCAUGUAACAUAAUUUAAAAGAUUAAGUUUUGUUAACAAAGGAAGAAAUUACCUGAAAAUGUAAGAACAAAUAAAUUGAGAUCUUUGUCACAAAAACACAAACUGAGAUCUGCCAAGGAAAUAUAAAAAAUGUGAAAUAUGAAAUUUGAGUAACAACGGAAAUUAAGAGUAAAAUAUGUGUUUACUGAGAUUUAAAGAGAGAAAUUACUUGAAAGUGAGUGACUGGAAUGGAAGAAAGAAAGUGAAGAACUUAAAAGAUCUCCCAAAGAAAGAAAGACUUAGCGGAAGCAAUGCAAGAUAUCAACGAUGAAGUUUAGUUUAAUAUGCAUAUGAAAUUAAGAAGAAGAAAAUGAAUGGUGUGCUUUUUUCUAUCAACUGACUGACCAUAUAUAAUAUGGAUAGACUUAGAGGAAGCACAGCAAGAUAAGUUUGGAA
rnacentral:lncRNA from 1 species